rnacentral:ncRNA from 1 species
UAAUAACUCCACCAUACAGGUGCCUCUCGCUAUAGAGGGGAGAAUAGGGAAGCUCGGAAGGAUUCAAAAAAGAAUCCUUAAACGACGCGGUCGCGCCACUGUAAUCGGGGAGGAACAUCUCUAUUAUGCCACCGGCUAUCCGGGAAGGCGAGGGUGUUCCGAGGAACCGUAAGCCAGGAGACCUGCCUGUUAUGGCUGUUAUUU